rnacentral:lncRNA from 1 species
CCUAGGUCAAAAGUUUUAUUCAGGUUUAUGUGGCUUGUGCACUUGCCAGUAUUUACUUCAAAAGGUAACAAUUCAAUUCCAAGAUGAUUUAUUCUAUUACAAGUAGUAUCACUUAGUAUACUUUUGAAACAGGGUACAACUUCUCUGACAUUUAAAAUCAACAGAUGUAGCUGGCAUUGUAAAAUUUUCUAACAUACGAGGUCAACAAACAAACUACACGGCAAGUAUUCGGUGUAAUACUUUAUUUUCUAUUGUAUUAAACGAAAGCCAGGAAAAUACCAAGUUAUUUAAAGGCAAAUCUUUACUCCUUAAAGAAAAAAUACAAACUGUGGUAUUUUUAAGAGAUCGUUAUAUUUUACACAUAGCAUGCCUUUUUUUCC